GCCUGCGUAUGAUUAGCUUGUUGGUGAGGUAAUGGCUCACCAAGGCGACGAUCAUUAGCUGGUCUGAGAGGAUGAUCAGCCUGACUGGGACUGAGACACGGCCCAGACUCCUACGGGAGGCAGCAGUGGGGAAUCUUGCGCAAUGGGCGAAAGCCUGACGCAGCGACGCCGUGUGCGGGAAGAAGGCCUUCGGGUUGUAAACCGCUUUCAGGAGGGACGAAGCCACUCAGGUUAAUAGCCGAGAGGGUGACGGUACCUCCAGAAGAAGCCCCGGCUAACUACGUGCCAGCAGCCGCGGUAAUACGUAGGGGGCUAGCGUUGUCCGGAUUUAUUGGGCGUAAAGAGCGUGUAGGCGGCCGGGUAAGUCCGGUGUGAAAACUCGAGGCUUAACCUCGAGAUGUCAUCGGAAACUAUUCGGCUAGAGUCCGGAAGAGGAGAGUGGAAUUCCUGGUGUAGCGGUGAAAUGCGCAGAUAUCAGGAAGAACACCUAUGGCGAAAGCAGCUCUCUGGGACGGUACUGACGCUGAGACGCGAAAGCGUGGGGAGCGAACAGGAUUAGAUACCCUGGUAGUCCACGCCGUAAACGAUGGGUGCUAGGUGU
rnacentral:rRNA from 1 species